rnacentral:rRNA from 1 species
UACGUAGGGUGCAAGCGUUAAUCGGAAUUACUGGGCGUAAAGGGCGCGUAGGCGGCCUGCUAAGUCGAACGUGAAAUCCCUGGGCUUAACCCAGGAACUGCGUCCGAUACUGGCAGGCUUGAAUCCGGGAGAGGGAUGCGGAAUUCCAGGUGUAGCGGUGAAAUGCGUAGAUAUCUGGAGGAACACCGGUGGCGAAGGCGGCAUCCUGGACCGGCAUUGACGCUGAGGCGCGAAAGCCAGGGGAGCAAACGGG